rnacentral:rRNA from 1 species
AAAGGUAAGCUACUAAGAGCGAAUGGUGGAUGCCUUGACUGGUAAAGGCGAUGAAGGACGUACUAGACUGCGAUAAGCUACGGGGAGCUGUCAAGAAGCUUUGAUCCGUAGAUUUCCGAAUGGGGCAACCCAAUGUAUAGAGAUAUACAUUACCUAUAUAGGAGCGAACGAGGGGAAUUGAAACAUCUUAGUACUCUCAGGAAAAGAAAUCAAUAGAGAUUGCGUCAGUAGCGGCGAGCGAAAGCGCAAGAGGGCAAACCCAGUGCUUGCACUGGGGGUUGUAGGACUGCAAUGUGCAAGAG